CCACCCUGCCUCCCCUCCAGCAACCCUGUUUCUUUCCUGUACUUAAGAGUCUCUUAGGGUCUGCCUCCCUCUCUGUUUUCAUCUUUUUUUUUCCUUCCCUUCCCCUAUGUUCAUCUGUUUUUUUCUUCCACAUAUGAGUGAAAUCGUGGUAUUUGUCCUUCUCUGACUGACUUAUUUCGCUUAGCAGAAUACCCUCUAGUUCCAUUCAUGUCAUUGCAAAUGGCAGGAGUUCAUUCUUUUUGAUGGCUGAGUAAUAUUCCAUUGUGUGUAUAUGCCACAUCUUCUUUAUCCAUUCAUCUGCCAGUGGACAUCUAGGCUCUUUCCAUAGUUUGGCUAUUGUGGACUUGCUGCUAUUAACAUUGGGGUGCAGGUGCCCCUUCAGAUCACUGUGUUUGUAUCCUUUGGAGAAAUACCUAGUAGUGCAGUUGCUGGGUUGUAGGGUGGCUUUAGUUUUAAAUGGUUCAGGAAGAAUUUGUAUGAUAAUCAGGGGUAAGGAAAGUAACAUUUUGGGACUACCUAUUAAAUCUCUCAUAAUCCUCACCCCAUGAGAAAAUGUAGGCUAGUAAAUGGCAGAACUGAAACUUGAAUCUACAUUUGAAUGAUUCCAAAACCUGUGUUCUUUGUGUAACGGUGCUCAUUUGAUAAUAGUGAAUAUUAUGAUUAUUUUACCAAAUGUGAUACUUGUAAUCCUUAAAAGUAUUAAUUUUUUUUCUAGAAUGUCCCCAAACCAAGCUUAAGAAAGCUAAUGGCUGCUUGUGAGAAAUUCAAGAACUUGGAAACAAAAUGUGGCCUUAUGACAGUAGGCGAUAACCUUUCACUUACGGACGAUAAUUCUGAUCAUAAAGAUGAAGAUACAAAAGUGUAUGACCUUUUUUGUCCUGCUAUUCCGUCACCUAGCACUCUUAAAAAACCUCUCGGGCCAUUAGAAGGCCUUGGUGUUACAAAGGUAAGUUGUUUUGUUUUAAAUUUUUUUCCCCUAUGCUUUUUUUUCACAUACAUCCUCUUGAUCCUUAUAAUGAAAAGAUCUUAGGAAGAAAUGGAAGUCCUCAAGAUCAUAAGAGAACAUAGUGUAAUAACAACAGGGAGAUAAGUACCGGAUUGAGAUUUAUAAGGGUUGGUGGGAGUAAACAAUUCUUAGGUAUGCCAGUAUGGAAGUAAAGAAUUAGAAAGCAACUGGAAAGAACAGCUAGAUGGAUGUGAAGAUGAGGGAGGGGGUGGGGGGAAGAAUUCAUUUAAGAAGGGCAAGAUGAAUGUAAAGAUUGAAGAGUUGAGAGAGAUUAUUACAAAAACAUAACUGCAGUAGUGGGGCUAAGGGAGAGCAGAUAGUCUGGAUUAUAAAAUAUGGUAGAGAUUAUUUUAAGUGCAAACUUAAAAAACAAAGUCAGGUAAUACAAAUGCUUAGACUCUUCUGAAUGACUUACAGCUGAUUUUUAUGAAGAACUGGAAGAAAAUUUUAUCCUUUUAACUUUAAUAAAGUGUGAUAUAUUUAAUUUAGCA
rnacentral:lncRNA from 1 species